UACGAAGGGGGCUAGCGUUGUUCGGAAUCACUGGGCGUAAAGCGCACGUAGGCGGAUCUUUAAGUCAGGGGUGAAAUCCCAGAGCUCAACUCUGGAACUGCCUUUGAUACUGAAGAUCUUGAGUCCGGGAGAGGUGAGUGGAACUGCGAGUGUAGAGGUGAAAUUCGUAGAUAUUCGCAAGAACACCAGUGGCGAAGGCGGCUCACUGGCCCGGUACUGACGCUGAGGCACGAAAGCGUGGGGAGCAAACAGG
rnacentral:rRNA from 1 species